GACGAACGCUGGCGGCGUGCCUAACACAUGCAAGUCGAACGAGGUCCGUGGGUGCUUGCACCCGGAAGACCUAGUGGCGAACGGGUGAGUAACACGUGAGAAACCUGCCCCAGACUCUGGGAUAACCCAAGGAAACUUGAGCUAAUACCGGAUAUUCUCCUUUGGUCGCAUGGCCAGUUGAGGAAAGUUUUUCGGUCUGGGAGGGUCUCGCGUCCUAUCAGCUUGUUGGUGAGGUAACGGCUCACCAAGGCGACGACGGGUAGCUGGUUUGAGAGAACGAUCAGCCACACUGGAACUGAGGCACGGUCCAGACUCCUACGGGAGGCAGCAGUGGGGAAUCUUGCGCAAUGGGCGAAAGCCUGACGCAGCAACGCCGCGUGCGGGAUGAAGGCCUUCGGGUUGUAAACCGCUUUCAGCAGGGACGAAAAUGACGGUACCUGCAGAAGAAGCUCCGGCUAACUACGUGCCAGCCGCCGCGGUAA
rnacentral:rRNA from 1 species